GAUGAACGCUGGCGGCGUGCCUAAUACAUGCAAGUCGAGCGAACGGACGAGAAGCUUGCUUCUCUGAUGUUAGCGGCGGACGGGUGAGUAACACGUGGAUAACCUACCUAUAAGACUGGGAUAACUUCGGGAAACCGGAGCUAAUACCGGAUAAUAUUUUGAACCGCAUGGUUCAAAAGUGAAAGACGGUCUUGCUGUCACUUAUAGAUGGAUCCGCGCUGCAUUAGCUAGUUGGUAAGGCAACGGCUUACCAAGGCAACGAUGCGUAGCCGACCUGAGAGGGUGAUCGGCCACACUGGAACUGAGACACGGUCCAGACUCCUACGGGAGGCAGCAGUAGGGAAUCUUCCGCAAUGGGCGAAAGCCUGACGGAGCAACGCCGCGUGAGUGAUGAAGGUCUUCGGAUCAUAAAACUCUGUUAUUAGGGAAGAUCAUAUGUGUAAGUAACUGUGCACAUCUUGACGGUACCUAAUCAGAAAGCCACGGCUAACUACGUG
rnacentral:rRNA from 1 species